CCUACGGGAGGCAGCAGUGAGGAAUAUUGGUCAAUGGGCGCGAGCCUGAACCAGCCAAGUAGCGUGAAGGAUGACUGCCCUACGGGUUGUAAACUUCUUUUAUAAAGGAAUAAAGUGAGGCACGUGUGCCUUUUUGUAUGUACUUUAUGAAUAAGGAUCGGCUAACUCCGUUCCAUCAGCCGCGGUAAUACGGAGGAUCCGAGCGUUAUCCGGAUUUAUUGGGUUUAAAGGGAGCGUAGGUGGGUUGUUAAGUCAGUUGUGAAAGUUUGCGGCUCAACCGUAAAAUGGCAAUUGAUACUGGCAGUCUUGAGUACAGUUGAGGUAGGCGGAAUUCGUUGUGUAGCGGUGAAAUGCUUAGAUAUCACGAAGAACUCCGAUUGCGAAGGCAGCUUACUAAACUGCCACUGACAUUGAUGCUCGAAAGUGUGGGUAUCAAACAGGAUUAGAUACCCCGGUAGUC
rnacentral:rRNA from 1 species